rnacentral:rRNA from 1 species
AUACGGAGGGUGCAAGCGUUAUUCGGAAUCACUGGGCGUAAAGGACGCGUAGGCGGGUUGGCAAGUCAGAUGUGAAAUCCUACAGCUUAACUGUAGAACUGCAUUUGAAACUGCUAACCUAGAGUAUGGGAGGGGGAGAUGGAAUUAGUGGUGUAGGGGUAAAAUCCGUACAUAUCACUAGGAAUACCGAAAGCGAAGGCGAUCUCCUGGAACAUAACUGACGCUAAGGCGUGAAAGCGUGGGGAGCAAACAGGAUUAGAAACCCUUGUAGUCC